rnacentral:tRNA from 1 species
AUCUAUAUAAUAUAAAAAGUAUAUUUGACUUCCAAUCAUAAUGUCUAUAUUAAUAUAGUAUAGAUA